rnacentral:rRNA from 1 species
AGCAGCCGCGGUAAUUCCAGCUCCAAUAGCGUAUAUUAAAGUUGUUGCAGUUAAAAAGCUCGUAGUUGAAUUUCGAGACCGGUUUAUUGGUCGUGCUUUUGUACGUACUGGUAUUAUUGGUUUCUCCUUUCUGACGAAUCUUAAUGCCAUUAAUUUGGUGUUUUGGGGAAUCAGGACUGUUACUUUGAAAAAAUUAGAGUGUUUAAAGCAGGCUCACGCUUGAAUAUAUUAGCAUGGAAUAACGGAAUAGGACGUUUGAUUCUAUUUUGUUGGUUUCUAGGAUCGACGUAAUGAUUAAUAGGGAUAGUUGGGGGCAUUAGUAUUCAAUUGUCAGAGGUGAAAUUCUUGGAUUUAUUGAAGACUAACUACUGCGAAAGCAUUUGCCAAGGAUGUUUUCAUUAAUCAAGAACGAAAGUUAGGGGAUCGAAGACGAUCAGAUACCGUCGUAGUCUUAACCAUAAACUAUGCCGACUAGGGAUCGGAUGAUGUUAAUUUUUAAUGACUCAUUCGGCGCCUUACG